rnacentral:rRNA from 1 species
GAUGAACGCUGGCGGCGUGCUUAACACAUGCAAGUCGAACGGUGAAGGCGGAGCUUGCUCUGCUGGAUCAGUGGCGAACGGGUGAGUAACACGUGAGCAAUCUGCCCCUGACUCUGGGAUAAGCGCUGGAAACGGCGUCUAAUACUGGAUACGAGCUGCGAAGGCAUCUUCGGCAGCUGGAAAGAACUUCGGUCAGGGAUGAGCUCGCGGCCUAUCAGCUUGUUGGUGAGGUAACGGCUCACCAAGGCGUCGACGGGUAGCCGGCCUGAGAGGGUGACCGGCCACACUGGGACUGAGACACGGCCCAGACUCCUACGGGAGGCAGCAGUGGGGAAUAUUGCACAAUGGGCGAAAGCCUGAUGCAGCAACGCCGCGUGAGGGACGACGGCCUUCGGGUUGUAAACCUCUUUUAGCAGGGAAGAAGCGAAAGUGACGGUACCUGCAGAAAAAGCGCCGGCUAACUACGUG